UUAAGGCGGUGCCCUGCUAAGGCAUUGGGUUCUGCCCGCGUAGGUUCGAAUCCUGCCGUUGUCG
rnacentral:tRNA from 1 species